GUUUUCUGUGGGCUGUUAUGGCUGUGUGAGUAUAGAGACUUGUGUGCUUAAUGCUUAAAUUCAAGUUUAACUCAUUGCUUUCUGACCCACCUAUUUCACUAGUCAGUGCUAUUCACCCAGGGCUAUAAUCAUUUUUAAUUUUGUAUUCCCCACCAUUCCAUGUACUUACUGUUUUGGGCUGAAAAGGGGGUUCUGCGCCUUUCUCUUCCAGCACCACCCAAUCAAUGGAUUGAUAGAAUGGGUGGCGCCUGAUGUUCCCUCGCAGUCCAAGGCGCCAUUUCGGCUUCCUUUUAAGAAGCUAAAGGAUCAAAGGACAAUUGUUUUAAUAUCGCUAAUGGAUGAGAAAUAUAUUUGUUGCAAUACUUCUAUAGCACUUUUGGGACCCACCUUGCCCAGAAGAUUUUUUAGAUCUUCAUCCAGCCAUUUAGGUAUUUCGGGAUCAUGGUGUUUGGUGGCAUGAAUGAGCUCCUCAUCGUCGCUGUGGUCAAAGGGCAGUUUGCCGGUGGCCAUGUCGCAGAUGGUGAUGCCAAAUGACCACCAGUCUACUGCUGCAGUGUAGGGGCUUCUAUGUAGAAUCUUAAAAAGAAAUAUAAAUCUCUUACCAAGUUGCAAAAUGCCACCUUUUAAGUAUGUUUACUGGCUUAAUAUUGGCAACGGAGUUCAGUGGGUUUAGUUGGCCAAUGAGUGUAGGGAGUAAUUCAUGAGAUCAGUUGGUUCCCUAGCUUGGGUCUGAACAGUCAUAUUUUCCAGGACCCAAUAAAUUCUGUAAGGGUAUAACUACAACUGCAAAUAUGGGUGAUGCCUGGCACAAUCCAGUUGGCACUAAAGCUCUGUAUAAGCCUGAGAUAGUAAUACAGUGUUUAUCAUGUAAUUAAGAAACUGUUGCAGAUAAGUUGGUUCUCUCCUGUUGCCCACUUGUACCAAUACCUACAGUAUAUUGCAUCUUGGUAUUUUAAUGCUCUUUUCAACAAGGGGCAAGUGUUGUGCCAACAUCUUCUUAGUACCUUCCGAGCCUCCCUUUUGCAUGCACAGUACAGUAAUAUGUAGAGAAAAUGUAACUACUGUAUGCAGAAGCCACAAGGGGGGGGGGGGGCUUGGGGCACAUAUAGAGUGUGAUCCCUGUAAUUAUUUCCAAACAGGAGCACUGGUCCAGGGAAAAAGGACCUAUACCCCCCUCCAGUAUAUUACUCUAUCCUUGUCCUUAAAUAAUUAUUUGUCUAACAGUUAAAACUUUACGUCUUUGUAAGACAUCAGCUGUAUUGUAUAUUCUGUUCUGUUGUCCUGGGCACAUUCUCCUAUACUUCUUGCUUUUACUAGGUUUCGGCUGUAAUUAUACUCUAUUUGCAUAUCUCACCUCCGGGGCCAUGUAUCCCACAGUUCCAGCCCUGCCAAUCGUGGUGUCGCCGCGGAAGAUAUUCUGCUUGGCCAGGCCGAAAUCGGAGAUUUUUGCAUGCCCUCGAUGGUCCAACAGAAUAUUCAGGGGUUUAAUGUCUCUGUAAUAUAACGAUAAAAGGAAUUAGAUAAAAAAAAGACAAGGGCUGCUGAUUUGCAGCAAUGUUACAGAGAGGAAAAAUUGUAUACUGACCGGUGGAUAAUCCCCUUGUUAUGCAGGAACUGCAGGCCGCAGAUCAUCUCCGCCGAAUGGAACCUUUUAAACAGGGAAAUAAUGGUUACCUCCAUAAAGAUUAUCAUGUAAUAUGAAAUUUAAAUAUGAUGCUCCCCAGUGUCAAAAUGUACUUAUUGUAUUAUUCCAUCCUUUGUUUAGGUACAAUUUGUAUAAAUCUAUUUAUUAGUGAUAUUGUACCUGUACCAAUAUAAUACUUACCGUACUCUCUGUAUAUCUAGGCUGCCGUAUUGAUCCAGCUCAUCCUCAAGGCUUCCCCCACUCAGGAAUUCCAUGACAUAAAAGGCGUGCCGCUGGUUACACAGACAAUUGCAAAGUGUCAAGAGAAGGAAGAAAUGGCACAAGACUUACAACGUAGGGCAAAAGAGAGCACGAGGAUUUCUUAUCUACUCUAAGGUAGAGCCUUGCCAGGGCACCUCACAGAGGAAGCAGCCUCCCACAUUUAUGUCAUCAGUGCACACAGUUGUAAAGCGAUCCUUCUGGGUACAGCAGCACACUAAAGCGUCUGUACGACUCCGACACUCGCACAUCUCUCCCUUCUGCUAGACAAGAAAAAAUCUGGACAAUGUUACCUGGAUUUUGCACCUUCAAGGGAAUUGCACGCACCCUGGGAAUGGCAAUCAAUGAUCGUCCAGACCUG